GCGAGGGUAGCUCAGUAGGCCAGAGCACUCGGCUGAUAACCGAGAGGUCCCGGGUUCGAAUCCCGGCCCUCGCACCAGUU
rnacentral:tRNA from 1 species